AUGAAAUAAAUUAUAAAUAUAUACAUGUAUAGUGCAAUUCUUAUCAAUAGUUUCAUGGUAAAUAAGUUGUAGAAGGCUGUUUGAAGUUUGCAGCAUAUUCAACUUUGAACAUCUUUUUCAGGUCUGCAAUCCAUAUAGAACAAAGUAUAUGUUGUAUGAUCGCCAAUGAAACGACUAUCCACAGAGGUUCAAAUAACAAAGUAAAUAUAAGCAACUAUACAGCCUUCAAAACAGAGGGAAAAAAACAGUCCAGACUUGUUAAAUACGCAAC
rnacentral:lncRNA from 1 species